rnacentral:antisense_RNA from 1 species
GCUCCGGGGGCGCCCGGCUGGGCCCAGCUCCGCGGGCGCGCCCCCGUCACCCCCUCCCAGGCCAGUUCAGGGCAGCGCCAAGGGGCCGCCGGCUCAGGCUGAGGCCUCCUCCUGCCUAGGCGUCUGGCGUCCGUUUGUCUGUCCGAGGCCUCAGCGCAGGUAAAGCGCGGGGCUGGGGGGCGCAGAGCUCCAUUGGGCUGGGAACCAGCGCGUCUCGUGCCCUUGGGGGACCUGCCUGCCCGAGCCGCCUGCUAAGCCUCCCGCUCCCCUCCACGCUGGAGCGCGCGGAGCCCGGUCUGCUCGGAACUCCACUCUGCGGGAGCGGAGGCCGGCGCCAGCCCGGGAAGCCGCGCAGGGGGCGGGAGGCCGAGCGCGAGGCCCUUGGCGCCGGGCCUCCGCGUCCAGGCCGGGCAGCUUACGAUUCUUCAUCAACUCGUAAAAUGAGAUCGCCGCGGAGCUCGAGCCUAUUUGGCGUCUCCGGAGACUAGCAAGACCCUCUGAAAGACACCGCGUCCCCAGGGAUAAUCCCCCGUGUCCGGCAAAGCUGCCCCGCUCGAGCGCGAACCCUGGGACCCAGCGCGGGAGGCAGACCAGCAGCUGGCCGCUGGGCUGUGAACGCCAGGACCGAGCGGAAGCUUCCCGCCCGGCCGCGAUCGGUGCCGCGGCUCUCAGGGAAGUGGCUACGCGCGGCCCUCGGGAAAGCAGGUAAUUCGCCUUUUUCU